UUUUUUUUGUGAGGAGGUUGACAAGUUGAAUUAAGAUGAAUAUUGGAAAGAAGAAUAAGCAACCUGGAGGAAAAAA
rnacentral:ribozyme from 1 species